AGGGAUCAUUAUAGAAUUCCAAAUGGGUCAGGUUGUGCUGGCUGAAAAGCAAGUGCACGCCUGCUCAUAAGCAUUCAAACCUCUGUGCACCUUUCAUGGAAUAGCUUGUGGAUUGGGUGACCUAUGUUGCUUGAUUUACAGCUGCUCUGUGUUUUUAUAAACUUCUUAAUCAGUUCAGAAUGUCUAUUGUGUUAAUACACAUCUUUAUACAACUUUCAGCAACGGAUCUCUUGGCUCUCGCAUCGAUGAAGAACGCAGCGAAUCGCGAUACGUAAUGUGAAUUGCAGAUUUUCAGUGAAUCAUCGAAUCCUUGAAUGCACCUUGCGCUCCUUGGCAUUCCGAGGAGCACGCCUGCCUGAGUGUCGUUCGACCUCUCAACCGACCCUUUCUUUCCGAGGGGGCUUGGCUUGGAUCGUUGGGGGUUCUCUGCCGGACGACGGAGCAAGGGGGGGCGUCGAAGCGUCGGAAUUCCUUCCGUCCCUUCCACCGCCUUUCCUCUCCGUCUUCGGGCUCUCCUGAAACGCAUGUCCGGGGAUCUGAAGAAGAAGAUCGAAAGGGUCUUUCAAAGUCGCACAUGUGCCUCGGCUUUUUUGGGUUCUGGGUCUCCUCUCCCCGCAGGGCUCGGCGUGAUAGUCUUCGUCGUGUUUUUCCCUUGCGGGGGUUUGCAGAGGGUUCUGGAGGCAUGUGACGGUUCGACUUUGUGGGCUUCUUCUCUCCUCGUCGCCAGCGUGCGCACACGAGCGGUCGCGAGCCCUGGGGGGCUUGCCUCGUGUCGCCAUCUCCGAUCUCUGACCUCAGAUCAGGUGGGACCACCCGCUGAACUUAAGCAUAUCAAUAAGCGGAGGA
rnacentral:rRNA from 1 species